rnacentral:pre_miRNA from 9 species
CUCAUUCCUUCAGUGUUGAAACACUCUGUUGAACCAGAUUACAGAAAGUUCACUGGAGUUUUGUUUCAACAUUGCAAGAAUGAUAAGAUCAAUGC